rnacentral:rRNA from 1 species
UCGAGCGGAAACGAGUUAUCUGAACCUUCGGGGAACGAUAACGGCGUCUAGCGUCGGACGGGUGAGUAAUGCCUAGGAAAUUGCCCUGAUGUGGGGGAUAACCAUUGGAAACGAUGGCUAAUACCGCAUGAUGCCUACGGGCCAAAGAGGGGGACCUUCGGGCCUCUCGCGUCAGGAUAUGCCUAGGUGGGAUUAGCUAGUUGGUGAGGUAAGGGCUCACCAAGGCGACGAUCCCUAGCUGGUCUGAGAGGAUGAUCAGCCACACUGGAACUGAGACACGGUCCAGACUCCUACGGGAGGCAGCAGUGGGGAAUAUUGCACAAUGGGCGCAAGCCUGAUGCAGCCAUGCCGCGUGUGUGAAGAAGGCCUUCGGGUUGUAAAGCACUUUCAGUUCGUGAGGAAGGUAGUGUAGUUAAUAGCUGCAUUAUUUGACGUUAGCGACAGAAGAAGCACCGGCUAUCUCCGUGCCAGCAGCCGCGGUAAUACGGAGGGUGCGAGCGUUAAUUCGGAAUUACUGGGCGUAAAGCGCAUGCAGGUGGUUUGUUAAGUCAGAUGUGAAAGCCCGGGGCUCAACCUCGGAAUAGCAUUUUGAAAACUGGCAGACUUAAAGUACUGUAGAGGGGGGUAGAAUUUUCAGGUG